GAUGAACGCUGGCGGCGUGCCUAAUACAUGCAAGUCGAGCGAACAGACGAGGAGCUUGCUCCUCUGACGUUAGCGGCGGACGUGUGAGUAACACGUGGAUAACCUACCUAUAAGACUGGGAUAACUUCGGGAAACCGGAGCUAAUACCGGAUAAUAUAUUGAACCGCAUGGUUCAAUAGUGAAAGACGGCUUUGCUGUCACUUCUCGAUGGAUCCGCGCCGCAUUAGCUAGUUGGUAAGGUAACGGCUUAUCACGGCGAGGAUGCGUAGCCGAGCUGAUAGGCGGGUAGGCGGCACUAGAGCGGAGACACGGACAAGGGGACUACGGGAGGCAGCAGUAGGGAAUCGGCGGCAGUGGGCGGGAGCCUGACGGAGCAACGGGGCGCGAGUGAUGGAAACCUUCGGAUCGUGAAGCUGUGUUAUGAGGGAUGAACCGAUGUGGAAGUAGAUAUGCACGGCUUGACGGUAACUAGUCAGAAAGCCACGGCUAACUACGUG
rnacentral:rRNA from 1 species